rnacentral:misc_RNA from 1 species
AAUAAUUUGAGUAUGCUCUCAGCAUAUUUCUAAUUUACUGUGAACUGUUUUACUGUUUAGCGUUUUGAGGGAUUGCCUAAAGAUUAUAGGGAUAGGUCUUUAGGAUGUUAACCUAGCUAAAGUCAGGCUUAGGCCUGGUAUCCUAAUUCAUUAUUUACCAAAAGAAUUCAGAAUUAAUAUUGUAACAUAAGCGUAAAAAACUUAUAAAA